CGGGAAACUGGGGAUAAUCCCCGAUAGAUCUCGGUCGCUGGAAUGCCCCGAGAUCGAAAGCUCCGGCGCCAGAGGAUGGGUCUGCGGCCUAUCAGGUAGUAGUGGGUGUAGCGUACCUACUAGCCUACGACGGGUACGGGUUGUGAGAGCAAGAGCCCGGAGAUGGAUUCUGAGACACGAAUCCAGGCCCUACGGGGUGCAGCAGGCGCGAAAACUUUACAAUGCCGGCAACGGCGAUAAGGGGACCUCGAGUGCCAGGUUACAGAUCUGGCUGUCGUGAUGCCUAAAAAGCAUUGCAUAGCAAGGGCCGGGCAAGACCGGUGACAGCCGCCGCGGUAACA
rnacentral:rRNA from 1 species